rnacentral:lncRNA from 1 species
AAGUACAAGGUUGUGACAUUGCUCCAUAAUCUUUUAUGUUUCCAUUUCAUUUGUUUAAUAAUUCUGUUUGACUCAGCAAAGGGUACUAACAGACUUAACUGUGUAAUACAAUCACAUUGAUGUACGGUAAUUCGAGUUUUAAAAUAUAAAAAAAAAAAUGAAAUCAAAUGGAAAAGAAAAAAGUAGACUUGGCACAGUAAACAGCAACUAUCGUCCCAGUACUAUCUGCUUUGAUUACCGAUUAGGCCGUUCUCGAAUUUCGUGUGCGUCGCCGUCGUGAUGUGUUACUUGAACUGAUUUUGGCUCGCAAGGCCGAACACUACUCAUUUUACCAUUUCAAAGAAACUGCAACGAAAAUGUGAGACAAAACUGAAACACUUUCUUGUUCGUGAUGUUUUGUUCGACUGUCGUUACGUCGCUUAGAGGCAUUUCUUUGAAUAAACAAGCAAGAAAAAUCAAGAUGUAUUGACAGAAAUAAAUGAAAGUAUUGCCCACUACAAUAAUUACAAUAGGUUGAUAGCCUUUGGGCGCCAUUUUCUUGUUCACCUGCCCAACCGUCUGUAAUACUUUUGGCAGCUCUCUCGGCCGGACAAACAAUCUAAUGAAUAAAGCUUGCAGCUAAAAAAAAAAAAAAAAAACAGAUCGUUACCUUGACGAAAAGAAAACAACCAAUUUUCUUUGGAGAUAAAAGUUAAAUCACAUUUUCUUCUAUCGUUUGGAAAGUAUGACAGAUUCGAUUCGGAGUUCCAGUUUAAUCAUUAAACACACGAUUACCAAUUGUUUCAACAAAAACAGAAAAAAUUCGGACACUUUAGAAAAAAUUGUUGGCAUAUCUCUUUAUACGGACGUUUUAUUUCACAGUCCAAACACGAAGGGGAAGAAGAAAAAAAAAGAAAACCAAUGGCGGCGGUUGGCGGUGGCGGUUUCUUCGGUGGUGAAUUAAAAAAUAAAGAAUUUCGGCUUUUUAUUAUUUUCCGCCCUUCAAGAUUUUUAUUUGUGUUAUCCCUUCUGUGCCUAUCUUUGCCCUGAUUGAUGAGGCCACAACAUUUUUUUUCUUUCUUCGAUGAUGACGACUUUUAUACGCCAAUGGAGUCUCGGAAGCAACCGCUGUUUUUUUAAUGAGGUCGCCCCGUGUGUCUUUUUUUUUUAAGAAGCCGAAUCAUUGGCUGCCAUCCAUCUCGUCAUUGAAUCCAUGUCCGCUGGCCCGAUACGUCAACGUCAAUAGACACAACAACAUGGAAGAGUAUAUAGGCACGCCGAUAUAUAUUGAUGUAAAUAAAUAUCUCUUUUUUUUUUUCUUUUUGCUGUGUGUGUGUGUGUGGAUGGGACGUUGUUGGGGGGGUUAUGCUAAUCAGGUAUGCAUCAUCCAUCACCAGUGGUGCGCCAUCAACCGUAAACAUUGAACAGCUCUAUACGGAAAAUAUUAAAGAGAAAAGAAAAAACAAAAAAGAAAAGUAAAAACAAAAAUCAACCUUAAAAGACCAAUCCUAUUUUCUUUUAAAGAGACAUUUUCUCGAGAAAAAGGAAGUAUGUUGAAAUUCCCUGAAUCAUCGAUUUUUUAUUGUGUCAAAUUGUAUACUCUAUCAAAUGCAAUAAUUGAACAGUAGCUACUGGA